rnacentral:rRNA from 1 species
UACAGAGGUCUCAAGCGUUGUUCGGAUUCAUUGGGCGUAAAGGGUGCGUAGGUGGCGCCAUAAGUCAGGUGUGAAAUCUCGGGGCUCAACCCCGAAACUGCACUUGAUACUGGGUAUCUCGAGUCCGAGAGAGGUGAGUGGAAUUCCGAGUGUAGAGGUGAAAUUCGUAGAUAUUCGGAGGAACACCAGUGGCGAAGGCGGCUCACUGGCUCGGUACUGACGCUGAGGUGCGAAAGCGUGGGGAGCAAACAGG